AGCUCCAAUAGCGUAUACUAAAGUUGUUGCGGUUAAAAAGCUCGUAGUUGGAUCUUGGAGUGUGAGCGUAUGGUCGAUCGAAAGGUUGUACUGUUCGUCACACUCUUCUGUUCGGUUGCGUGUGCAGUGCCCUUAACUGAGUGCUGUACUCGACCGAAAAUUUUACCUUGAAAAAAUUAGAGUGUUCAAAGCAGACCUGAUUGUGUCUGAAUAUUCGUGCAUGGAAUAAUAAAAUAAGAAUUUGGUUCUAUUUUAUUGGUUUUCGGAACUCGAGUUAAUGAUUAAGAGGGACAGACGGGGGCAUCCGUACUCUGCCGUUAGAGGUGAAAUUCUUGGAUCGGCGGAAGACGUGCAACUGCGAAAGCAUUUGCCAAGAAUGUUUUCU
rnacentral:rRNA from 1 species